rnacentral:rRNA from 1 species
UACGGAGGGGGUUAGCGUUGUUCGGAAUGACUGGGCGUAAAGCGCGCGUAGGCGGAUCAGGAAGUUGGGGGUGAAAUCCCGGGGCUCAACCCCGGAAUGGCCUUCAAAACUCCUGGUCUUGAGUUCGAGAGAGGUGAGUGGAAUUCCGAGUGUAGAGGUGAAAUUCGUAGAUAUUCGGAGGAACACCAGCGGCGAAGGCGGCUCACUGGCUCGACACUGACGCUGAGGUGCGAAAGCGUGGGGAGCAAACAGG